rnacentral:rRNA from 1 species
GCUAAAAAUCUAACCCACUUGUAUACUCAUGAACUUAUCUACCACACAUAACCCACUAAAACAUUUUACCAUUUUAGUAAAGGAGAUUGAAAAACUAAUUGGAGUUAUAUAAAUAGUACCGCAAGGGAAAGAUGAAAUAAAAAUGAAAUAAACCUUAAAGCACAAAAAAGUAAAGAUUAUUCCUUGUACCUUUUGCAUCAUGGUCUAACUAGUUUAACCAGGCACAAAGCAUUAUAGUCUGACCCCCCGAAACUAAACGAGCUACUUCAGGGCAGCUUUAUGAGCAAACCCGUCUCUGUUGCAAAAGAGUGGGACGACCCCCGAGUAGAGGUGACAAACCUAACGAGCUUAGUGAUAGCUGGUUACUCAAGAAAAGGAUUUUAGUCCAACCUGAAGCCCUCACUUAUUAAUAGUAAUUAUACCUACGCUUCAGAGCAAUUCAAAUAAGGUACAGCCUAUUUGAAGCAGGAUACAACCUCAAUUAAUGGGUAAUAAACUAAAUCCACAAUCAAGUGGGCCCAAAAGCAGCCACCUUUUAAAAAGCGUCAAAGCUUUAUUGUAUUAUUUAACUAAUUUCUAAAUCCACUUCCAACCCUCUUUCAUUAUUGAGUAAUUCUAUAUAACUAUAGAACUUAUUAUGUUAAAACUAGUAACAAGAAGCUAACCUUCUCUUAUAUGCAAGUGUAAAUCAGAAAGGACCCCCCACUGAUAAUUAACGCUUAUGAAAUUACCCUAGUAACUCCAACAAGAAAACCCUAGUUUCCCCCACGUUAAACUAACACAAGAGCACCCCAAGAAAGAUUUUAAGAAAAAGAAGGAACUCGGCAAAUAUCAACCCCGCCUGUUUACCAAAAACAUCGCCUCUUGAAUAAAAUAAGAGGUCAAGCCUGCCCAGUGACCCCACAAGUUCAACGGCCGCGGUACCCUGACCGUGCGAAGGUAGCGUAAUCACUUGUUCUUUAAAUCAGGACUAGUAUGAAUGGCAUCACGAGGGUUGUACUGUCUCCUUUUUCCAAUCAGUGAAACUAAUCUCCCCGUGAAAAAGCGGGAAUAUUCUUAUAAGACGAGAAGACCCUAUGGAGCUUUAAAUUUUAUUUCAACUGCUUCCCCACCCCACCCCGUUGUGACAUUUUAUAUCAAACCAAGCAUGAUGAUAAUAUAAUUUUAGGUUGGGGUGACCGCGGAGCACAAAAAAACCUCCACAUUGAACUAGGCCUAAGCCCUGAACAAAGAGCCACAACCCUAAGUACUAGUAUACUAACAUCCAUUGACCCAAUAUUUGAUCAACGAACCAAGUUACCCUAGGGAUAACAGCGCAAUCUACUUUGAGAGCCCCUAUCGACAAGUGGGUUUACGACCUCGAUGUUGGAUCAGGGUAUCCCAGUGGUGCAGCCGCUACUAAAGGUUCGUUUGUUCAACGAUUAAAACCCU